rnacentral:rRNA from 1 species
AGUGAACGCUGGCGGUAGGCCUAACACAUGCAAGUCGAACGGCAGCACAGUAAGAGCUUGCUCUUACGGGUGGCGAGUGGCGGACGGGUGAGGAAUACAUCGGAAUCUACUUUUUCGUGGGGGAUAACGUAGGGAAACUUACGCUAAUACCGCAUACGACCUACGGGUGAAAGCAGGGGAUCUUCUGACCUUGCGCGAUUGAAUGAGCCGAUGUCGGAUUAGCUAGUUGGCGGGGUAAAGGCCCACCAAGGCGACGAUCCGUAGCUGGUCUGAGAGGAUGAUCAGCCACACUGGAACUGAGACACGGUCCAGACUCCUACGGGAGGCAGCAGUGGGGAAUAUUGGACAAUGGGCGCAAGCCUGAUCCAGCCAUACCGCGUGGGUGAAGAAGGCCUUCGGGUUGUAAAGCCCUUUUGUUGGGAAAGAAAAGCAGCAGGUUAAUACCCCGCUGUUCUGACGGUACCCAAAGGAUAAGCACCGGCUAACUUCGUG